GCUGUUGUUGGCUGAAUGUUCUGAGAAAAUUUACAGAAUUUCUCUCUCUCCUUUUCUUCUUCCAGGCUACUGGAACAGAUACGUCAGCAACAUGGGGAGAAAGAUGGACCAGAGCAAGAUCAAAGCAAAGAGCAAAGGGUAACAAGAAGAUGCCCUGUGCCAGCUGUUUAAGAGAAGCACUUGUCAUGCAAGUAUUCUCAAACAACCUACUUUAUGCCAAAUGCACUGCUAUAGAACAAGA